CACGCGGUAUUAGCCCUGUGAAUGUGUUCCCGGUACAAUCACAGGAUAAUACUGCGAG
ncrna:Manduca sexta (tobacco hornworm) microRNA mse-mir-308 precursor